AUUGAACGCUGGCGGCAGGCCUAACACAUGCAAGUCGAGCGGAUGAAGGGAGCUUGCUCCUGGAUUCAGCGGCGGACGGGUGAGUAAUGCCUAGGAAUCUGCCUGGUAGUGGGGGAUAACGUCCGGAAACGGGCGCUAACACCGCAUACGUCCUGAGGGAGAAAGUGGGGGAUCUUCGGACCUCACGCUAUCAGAUGAGCCUAGGUCGGAUUAGCUAGUUGGUGGGGUAAAGGCCUACCAAGGCGACGAUCCGUAACUGGUCUGAGAGGAUGAUCAGUCACACUGGAACUGAGACACGGUCCAGACUCCUACGGGAGGCAGCAGUGGGGAAUAUUGGACAAUGGGCGAAAGCCUGAUCCAGCCAUGCCGCGUGUGUGAAGAAGGUCUUCGGAUUGUAAAGCACUUUAAGUUGGGAAGAAGGGCAGUAAGUUAAUACCUUGCUGUUUUGACGUUACCAACAGAAUAAGCACCGGCUAACUUCGUG
rnacentral:rRNA from 1 species